rnacentral:rRNA from 1 species
AUACGUAGGUGGCGAGCGUUGUCCGGAUUUACUGGGCGUAAAGGAUGCGUAGGUGGAAACUUAAGUGGGAUGUGAAAUCCCCGGGCUCAACCCGGGAACUGCAUUCCAAACUGGGUUACUUGAGUGCAGGAGAGGAAAGCGGAAUUCCUAGUGUAGCGGUGAAAUGCGUAGAUAUUAGGAAGAACACCAGUGGCGAAGGCGGCUUUCUGGACUGUAACUGACGCUGAGGCUCGAAAGCGUGGGGAGC